rnacentral:rRNA from 1 species
AGAGUUGAUCAUGGCUCAGGAUAAACGACUGGCGGCAUGCCUAAUACAUGCAAGUCAAACGGGAAGUAGCAAUACUCUAGUGGCGAACGGGUGAGUAACACGUGGGCAACCUGCCUGAAGACGAGGAUAACAGUUGGAAACGACUGAUAAUACUGGAUAGUAUACAUUACCGCAUGGUUUUGUAUUUAAAGAUGCGUUUGCAUCACUUCAAGAGGGGCCUGCGGAGCAUUAGCUAGUUGGUGAGGUAACGGCCCACCAAGGCGACGAUGCUUAGCUGCGCUGAGAGGCGAAACAGCCACAUUGGGACUGAGAGACGGCCCAAACUCCUACGGGAGGCAGCAGUAGGGAAUUUUCGGCAAUGGGGGAAAACCCUGACCGAGCAAUGCCGCGUGAAUGAUGACGGUCUUCGGACUGUAAAAGUUCUGUUGUGAGGGAAGAACUAUACGAUUAGGAAAUGAGUCGUAUUUGACGGUACCUCACUAGAAAGCCCCGGCUAACUAUGUGCCAGCCGCCGC